rnacentral:rRNA from 1 species
GGAUGCGACCAUACCAGCACUAAAGCACCGGAUCCCAUCAGAACUCCGAAGUUAAGCGUGCUUGGGCGAGAGUAGUACUAGGAUGGGUGACCUCCUGGGAAGUCCUCGUGUUGCAUUCC